rnacentral:rRNA from 1 species
UACGUAGGGUGCGAGCGUUGUCCGGAUUUAUUGGGCGUAAAGAGCUCGUAGGCGGUUUGUCGCGUCUGCUGUGAAAACUGGGGGCUCAACCCCCCAGCCUGCAGUGGGUACGGGCAGACUAGAGUGCGGUAGGGGAGAUUGGAAUUCCUGGUGUAGCGGUGGAAUGCGCAGAUAUCAGGAGGAACACCGAUGGCGAAGGCAGAUCUCUGGGCCGUAACUGACGCUGAGGAGCGAAAGCAUGGGGAGCGAACAGG